UGAGAAUGAAUCGAUGGGGUCUAAGUUACUAUCACAAAAGGGUUUAGAGGUGGAGGUAAAGAAGGUAAGGAAGUAAUUACAGGAGAGAGCUACAGCGGAUGCGAUUGCAAGUACGGUAAUGAGACGCAAGAACUCGCCUUUUGAAGGGAAUAAGCUUUGGGGUGGUUCGAGUAUGGAGUUCAGUGAAGAAUUUUUUGAAUAUGAAUUAUGCUUGGAUUUUGGAAUCUUUUUGGGUGUUGAAGGCAUUUUCUUUUUUUCUUUUUCUGAAGGUUAG
rnacentral:lncRNA from 1 species